rnacentral:lncRNA from 1 species
CUCAAAAUAACUAGAACUGCUCAUUUGGUGAUUCUGUAAAGAUGUAUAUAUGCAUCCCAUCUUAGAUUUGGUCCUCUCCAUACACAUGAUUUAAUAAUUUUAUGUAUCCCGCACAUCUAAAAUAAUAUUCGAGCAACCAAAUGUACCUUAAACCUAUAUCAAUUAUUCAUCAACUUUAUGUGUACUUCCAUACUUCUCUUUACAAAGGGAGUCGAAGUCGAAGACCGCAUUGUGUUUCAAAACAUAAUCCUAAGUUGCAUUGUUUAUAAGAAUCGAACCUCCUUGAGUUUUCAAAACAUAAUCCCAAGACGCAUUAUUUAGGAACGCAUUGAUUUUUUAUACAUAUAACAUUUUCACCCGCUAACAAUUUUUUGCUUCAACAUACGGUAAUGAUUCAUCCUCGUCAAAUUGUACGAGUACAUUUCAAUUCCUGAGAUAACAGUUGAUCCUUGAACUGAAAUUUUCUACUUCUAAUCUUCUUAUGUUGGUUCCAUCUUGAUUAAACCCAUCAA